AGGUCUCUUGGAUGGAAGGUGAUGGUGGUGGGGUGUCACGGAGACCCAUUGAUUGACCGUCAGAUGGAGCUCGCUGAGCGGUUAGAGAAGCAGGGUGUGGAUGUGGUGGCCCACUUUGAUGAUGGAGGCUAUCACGGCGUUAAAUUUGAUGAUCCUGCAAAACAAUUUUUCGUAAUUCUGAAAAAUUUUGUUGAUUCUUGUACAACAAAGAUUUGAUGAUCACAUUUCGGCAUUGUGUUUAGAAUAAAGUUAAUAUUAUCUCACUCAGAGGUUUUUCAACUCCGUCAUUAGUCUAAAGUACAUAGAGUACUUUCAACUCCGUCAUUAGUUGAAAGUACAACGUAUAUAGUGUAAUGUGUAACUCUUAAACUAUCGAAUAAUUAUUUAUCAUGUAAUAUACCAUCCUACGUCUUACAGACAUAAAUAAACUUACAUAGCAUAUGCAUUUUGUCAUAUAAGCUACUGAUUUUUCAAAGUUAGGAUGGAUUUGCUUUUGGGGUAAAAGUUAAAGUUACUGAAGUGCAAAAAGACUAAAAUGGUCUUCCUAAUUUCGAGUUAUUAUAACCAUGUCCCUUCAUUUUUCAUUAAAUAAAGUCAAGGACACUGAAAAACUCAAGAGAGAGAGAGAGUUGUUAUUCAAUUUUUGCAAUAAAUACUAAUUUUCUACUUUCACAAGUUGAUCAUCUCCCGCUACAGUCUGAAUUCUAUAAUCUUCGGCAAAAUCUUCAACCAUGAUACCUAGAAAGAAACAGGUCAGCUACACAUGAGCAAGACAAACUACAAACUAAACAACCAAAAGACAUCUAACAGAAAACAAAAACAUUUUAGAAACAUAAGAAGAAUUAAAAGGAAGUUGUUCAGAUUAAAUACAACCUUUUAUGAGAAAAGCAUUUAGAAAAAUACUACAAAUAGUAGAUUUUAAUAAGGGGUGGAGCCAGAAAUUAAGUAUAACGAGGUCAAAAUUGCUAAAAUUUAUAUUUAGCUGGUUUAAAUAUGGAACGUCUUAGCAAAACAAACCGAAACGUCGUGGCAUUCAUGAUUUUAGUAUAUCCUUGGAUGUUGAUUAGGCUGGCCUUCUUAGUUAAAAUUAUAUUUGAUAGAUACCAAAAAUACCAGGGGGAAAACAAAGAAUUGGAAGGUCAUACUUAGGUACAAAAAAUAAUCUAAGGGCAUGUUUGAUUAUCUGGACUAGGUAUGAGUUCAGUUCAGUUCCGCGUUUACUUUUUUAAAAUAGUUUCGGACUACUAGUCCGAGCAGACCCAAUAGUCUCCCAUACUUGGGAUAACUUGUCCUAGGCUGUUCCAUGAUUUUAUUAGUCCCUUAAGUAGUCCGGAGACUACUUAGCCAAUCCAAGUAAUCAAACAUGCCCUAAAAGAUUAUUUUAUCUCAAAUGAGGCCAUUGAAGACCAAAGAUUAAUGACUUACAAGUCGAAUUUAAAUAUAUUUUUUUAUAUAUUUUUUUUAAAGAAUUAAAAUGCUAAAAGGGCUAAUUAUUGUGGGAGCUCUAUUAUUCCCAAUACCGUGUUAGAAAACCCCUGGCCCCACAUUACACAUUUACCCUAUUGCCCCUUCCAUUUUCUCGUUUUUCCCUCCAAGCCCCGCCCCCAGUCGCCCCCUUUCCCUUUUCCUCUUUUCCCCUCCAGCUAAACACCCCCCCGCCCCCCCUUGUUUUUCCAGUUUUUUUUAAUUUUUUUUAUUAAAUAUAUUUCUUUUCUUUAUCAGUUUUAGUUUUAUUUUUGGAUAAACAAUUUAUAUUAUAUUUUUCUAAAAUUUUGUUUAUUUUUUAUAAAAGAAUUUUUCUUUAUAAUAUGGAUUAAAAUUUAUAAUAUUUUUUUUAAAAUUUCUCUCAAUUUAUAAAAUUUAAUACAAAAUUGAUUAAUAUAAAAUGUUUUUUUUAUAUAAAAAAUACAAGGUAGGAGUAAAAUAAAUUAUAAAAUUUUAUCAUAUUUUUUAAUAUAAAAAUUAAAAGUGAAAGUAAAAAGAAAAAAAAUAGAAUCAAGGGGUAUUAAAAGGGAAAAAAGGAAUAAAAGGAAUGAAUGGCUAUAUAAAAAAAUUAUGAUAAAUUGUUUUAAUUUUUUUUACUCCCACCUUAUAUUUUUUAUAAAAGAAAAAAAUAUGGAUCAUAAAAAUAAUUUUGAGAUAAAAAGUUUUGGAGAUGGGAGUAACAUAAAUUAUAAAAUUUUAUCAUAAAAAGUAAAAGAAAAUUAAAAAACUUUGAUCAAUUUUUUUUAAUAAAUAACCAAGAACUGAUCAAUUUUUGAUCAAUUUUUUAAACACAUAAAAAUUUAUUUAUCAAAUUAUUUUGUAAUACCAUCUAUUCUUCCGAUUUUUUAAUUAAAUUUUUGAACACUUAUUUUUUAAAAAAAUUUUAUUUGUCAUAAAAAACUAUUGCUCGUAUUCAAGGCAAUUACUUCGUCCAAGUUUUCUUACGCCCUCAUUACUUGUACCACCCACCUCAGUAUGGUGACGGUAACAUUAUCAUCGAAAUUAGGGGAUGGAUUUGAUAGUUAUAUAGUACGAAGGAAUUUAUGGUCAGAAAUAUGAGUGAGAACCGGGUGCUCCCAGAAGAGAGUUUUUUGAUGAGAUAUUGAUUAAAAAUUAUGGUUUUUUAUAUAAUGGUGGGAAUUUUACUACUGUAUUGAUAUGCCUAAAAAUUAGUAUUUUUUUAUAUGUUUUUUUAUUAACAAGUAAAAACUAAUAAAAAAAUUUAGUGUUAAAAAUUUUUAAAAAAAUCGGAAUAAUAAUGGUAUUAACAAAAAAAAUUAAUAAAUAAAUUUCUUUGUGUUUAAAAAAUUUAAUAAAAAGUCAGAAUGUAAAGAAAAAAAAAUCAUAAAAUAUUUUGAUUAUUUUUUAUAAAUUAUUAAAAAAAUAACAGAAGAAUAGAACAUAUAAGAACUAAAAUAAUUUAUCCAAAAAUAAAAUAAAAGUGAUAAAAAAAAUUAAUUUAUAAUAAAAAAAAACUGAUAAAAAAAAUAAUAAAAAAAAGUGAACCAAACGGGGCUUCUCGCUGAGAGAGAGGGGGGUCAAAUUUGGCCAAAGGAAAAUAAAUUUAAUAAUAAAAAAACAAAAUUAAUAAAAAAACUAAUGAAUAAAAAUGGAACCAAAGCGGGGGGACGGCUCGCUGAGAGAGAGAGAGAGGGGUCAAAUUCGGCCAACGGCUCCCAAAACAUGUCCCCCGUGGGGGUGGGAAUAAUAGUUUUUUUAUUGUGGGUAGUGGAGUCCACUCUUCCCUUCUAUUGGACCAUUGGUCAAACAUUGGGCCCACACUCCAAAUUAUCUUCUUCAUUUCUUCUCCUUAAUUUCGCUAACCUCCCCUUUUAAGUAUUCUUACAAAUACAGCAAUCCCUUGUAAUCUUUGAAAUAUCAGUUAUCGUACUUACUUUUGAACCUAUUUUGAAACUAUUAUGAAGAAUUUUUUUUAGGAGCUAAUUUUUUUACAAAAAUAAGAAGAUUUUUCUAUUUUUAAGGUUUUCAUAUUUUUUUCUCAUCACACCAAUUAAAUUAAUACACAUUCUAUCAUUUUUUUAUAUUUUUAUUUUCUUUUAUAAUAAAUACUAAAAAAAUGUUAGUAAUACAUGAUUACUCUUUUUUUGCAAUGAUUUUUUUGUUUUUUUUAUAAUAAAGUAUAUUUGUUUUUAAGUAUGUUUAGAUUAGUUAGUUUAUGAAUAAAUAGCAGUGUCCAUUUUUUUUUAGUACGUAUAAAUUAAUUAAUUUUCGUGGAGCGAAGUCCAUCUCAAUUAGACUUAUUCUGCCAUUGGUUUUUGAAAUACUAUUUGCGCUAAAAAGUGAAUAAAAUCCAAACAUAACAAUGGUUUUGAUUUUUCAUAAACAGUUUCCAAAAAAAGCUAUGUAAAAUUUAUCUUUAAUUAUACAAAAAUAAAUAUAUUUUUCUUUUUUGAUUAAAAUACUUUACAAAGCAAAAGCUGCUACUUGCUUAUUGAAUUUACAAAACCAAAACCAAAUUCAACAGUGGCCGGUAAUUAUUAUGCAGAUAAUGGCGAACGAAAGAAAGCGUAUAGUGUGGAGUGGGUCUUCAAUUGUGUGUGUAUAUAAUUAUAUAUUAUAUAUAUAUAUAUAUAUAUAUUAUAUAAUUUAAUUUCUUGAAUAUUUUACUACAUAAUAUCAUCUACUCGAAUAUAAAAUGAAAAUUGCUAAUCGCCCCACCUGACAUCACCCGGGGCCUUGUCUCUUCGUGCUUUGACUAUUUUACCCCUCUCUCGUAAUUAUUUUUUUACCCUUCUGCCCCAACAGCUGAAUUAACUCCUGCUCUUUUUUUGAGAUGUGCUUUUCUCCCUCUCCGUGUUAGACCCUCCCCCUAGCCCCACGCCAAAUUUACCCUUGUGCCCCUCCCUCCUUUUUUCCUUCCUCCUUUUGUCCUUCUCCCGAUCCCACCCGUUGUUUUUAAUUUUUUUUUUUUUAGUUUUUUUGUAGCGGUUUUUUUUGUGUGUUUUUUUUCUUUCUUUAUCAGUUUUACAUUUUUUUUGAAUACAUAUUUAUUUAUUCUAUGUUGUAAUCUUUUUGUUUAUAUUUUUAGGUUGGAUAUUUUUACGAAUUAUUAUUUGUAACAAUUUUAAAAAUAUACCAUAUGACUGCACAAUAAAACAUUCUAGCUUCAAAUAACAAAAUACUAACAAAAAUAUUUUUUUAUUUCCCUACUCCCCUUUAAAUAACUCCUCUCACACUUCAUUUUCAAAUCCAACACCCCUCUCUUUAAAGUUUUCCAAACCCAACACCACUUCCUUUAAAUGGACACUUGGAAAGAGGUGAGUCAGAACUGGUUUGGUGAGGAUGAAUUAGAUAAUCCUGCACAGUAUUAUCUAAAUAACCUAGAGGAUGUUGUUCCGCUGAGGCCUAUUAUUCCGUUAAGGCCUACUCUGCUCUAGGUCAAUGAUUGGAAUAAAGGAAGCAUGACCUAGUCGCAUUCAAAACUACUAAGGAGAAAUUCGACGCACUGCUCACAAGAGUAUUCCGUAUCCCACUUAUUUAAAAAAAUUGAUAUU
rnacentral:lncRNA from 1 species